rnacentral:lncRNA from 1 species
CACACAUUCCCAGAAACUCUCCAGAAAACAAUCCACAGAAGCCUGCUUCCCCGGGUCAGGAAGAAGAUGGGAGCCAGGUGUUGGAAGUCAGUAGUAGGAGCCCACAACCCAGUGCGAGUCAGAGCAUGGACACAAUCUCCAAGCAUAUUGCAACGUGCAGCUCGAUCAUGAAGCCAGCUGGAAGAAAGACACAAAGAGGGUCCUUCCAGGACCCUCAGCCAGACACAGAGAGCCAGGGGACGAUAGGCAAGCCCCAAGGAACUUUGGUUGAGCCCUGGCCUCUUAAAGGGAUGAAGCCCCUCUCUAGCAAGCGAGAGGCUGGGCCCUAAGCAGCAUUUGUCUCCACUGAAGGCAAAGAAACCAGAGCCCUGGACCCAGGAAGACUACCCUCCCGGUUCUUUUGAGGCUUGUCUCAACUAUGACUCUUCCUCCGCACUGCCUCCCCGCAAGAGGAAGAAGAGAAGCACCUGGAAAGCUGAGGACCAGACCCCAAAAGCAAAGGAGCCUCCAAGCACGUCUCAAAGUUGCAACAAUCUGAAUCUCCUCCUGGAUGGCAGUCCCUUUCCAGAGAUCACCUCAAAUCUCGAAACCUGCUCCCCCCAAGAUGUACCUGAGAACUUUGACUUGCACACUGACCAAGAAGCAGCACCAUGGGCAUGCAGGAAAACCUUCAAAACGCCAGUGUAUUCUGGUGGCAGACCUGCCAGACCUCUCCAGCAGAUUACGAACAAAGGACACCAGGAUAAGCCUCAAUCUACAAGGGAAACUCACUGCAAACCUGCUCUGGAGGAAGGGCUAGUACGGAGUGAGCAGGAAGAGGACUUCCUCGGGACCCAGAUCAAAACUGGUAAGCCAACUGACAUCCAGACUGAGAUCCAGAGACUCCUCAGGUUUCAUGAGUCCUUGGAGCUCAAGUUGCAAAUCCAGAGCUCACGAGCCAAGAAGCCUCAAGGCCGCCAAACCAAGGUGAUCGACACCCAUGCUCAGGCCACAAGCCCAGGCCAGCAUGCAGACUCAGGACCCAGAGGGGAGGCCUCCCAACAAAAUAUGCACAGCCUCCCAGACCACCCUGGCCCUGGAAAUGUGCCGAGGGCUCCCCACCCGUUCUUGGCAGGCAGCACCAAUGGCAGCAAGAAGACUA